rnacentral:rRNA from 1 species
UCAUGUUGUCUACUAAUUAUAGACUAGUAUGAAAGGCAAAAUGAGGGCUUAACUGUCUCUUAUAGUAAAUCAAUUAAACUGCAUCUACCAGUAAAAAAGCUGGAAUAUUCCCAUAAGACCAGAAGACCCUGUGAAGCUUUAACCAAUUUAUUAAACCAUAUAAUAACUACUUUAGGUUGGGGCGACCUUGGAAAACAAAANAACUUCCAAAUACAACCACCAUACCACCACAGGCCAACAAGCCAUGGAACGACCCAGCAUGACUGAUUAUUGAACCAAGUUACUCCAGGGAUAACAGCGCCAUCUUCUUCAAGAGCCCAUAUCAAAAAGAAGGNUUACGACCUCGAUGUUGGAUCAGGCACAUCCUAAUGGUGAAGCACGCUAUUAAAGGUUCGUUUGUUCAACGAUUAAUAGUCCUACGUGAUCU